UUUUUUUUUUUUUUCUGCCUUGUGUGUCUGGGUUGUGGACAUUGUGUUGAAAUAUUGAGGACAUUGAAGUCAAUGCCACGUGUCUUCUACUGAUCUCCUCCUUAGAUUUUGGGACAAGGUCUCUCACUGAUCCUGUGUUGCAGGAUUUUCCCUGUCCAAUUAGAUUAGGGCAGUGGGAAGCCUGUGAUUGGACAGGGAAAAAGGAGGCAGAGCUAGAAGUUGCAGCGACAAGGAGUGUCUCCAGAUAGCAGGGAGAAAGGAAGAUGGCAGGGGACGUGAAUCAGUGUGGCUGUGACCAGCCACAGGUUGUUAUAAUAUCACAAAGGUUGGAAUAUUGGGAUAAUUUGUCUAAUCUAGGUGGGUUAUUUAUUUAUUUAUUUAGAGACUGGGUUUCUCUGUAUAGCCCUGGCUGUCCUGGAACUCACUCUGUAGACCAGGCUGGCCUCAAACUCAGAAAUCCACCUACUUCUGCCUCCCAAGUGUUGGGAUUAAAGGUGUGUACCACCACUGCCCAGCAGUGGGCAGCUUUUAUCACUAUCAAUUGUUUCUAAAAUUAUUGUAUUGGCAUCUUGUAAACUGUGAUUUUAUUGACACAUAAAUCUGAUUGGAAAAAAAAAGAGCUUUAAUUCUAUUAGCUAAUUGGGUGUUUUGAUGGCUGACUGUGGGGUCCGAGGGGCCUUGCAUGAUAGCGAGAGGAGGUGGGGGUGGGGCGCUGGAGAGUUGGUGGGCAGAGAGACCAUCAAGUUGAGUUCACCUGGUAGGAGCCCUGUGGCCAGAGGGGUCAGAGAGUUGGCGGGCUGAAAGAAGCAGGAGCAUGGAGAGUUAGCAGGAUCAUUUUUAAAUAUUUCCCACAACAACCUGGGCUGGACUGUCUGGCCAGCAAGCUCUCGGAUCUAUCUGUGUCCACUUCACCAGCACUGGCGAGACAGAUGUGGUGUGUGUGUGACCACCCCUGGCUUGCACGUGGGUUCUAGGGAUCCAGACUCAGACCCACGUGCUUGCCCAACAAGCACUUUAACUACUGAGUCUUCUUCCUAGUCCCCAGUUCUCAAGCCUUGAAUAACUGAAGUGUGCCAGUCAGGCGGUCGUUCUUUCAAAUACAAAGAGUAUUCCGUAAAAAGAAAUCCAGUAAGUCUGGGCAUGUGGCUUGGCACCUGGUGUGCACAGAAGUCCUGGGUUCUGAUUCUAGCACUGAAAAAGGGAGAAAGGAAAAAGAUGAGAGAGGGGGGGUGGAAAUAAGGAAGGAGAGAAGAAUGGGGGAAAGAACAGGAGGGAGAGAAGAAAGGAGGGAGAAGAAAUAAGAUGGGGGAAUGGAGAAAAAGAUGGAAAAAAAACUGAGCAGUAAAACAGAAAAAUAAGGAGCUGGCAAUAAUUUGACUCUUCUGUCUCAGCCUCUUAUUUGCAAUCACAGCAAACGUGUGCUGUUGACAGACAAUGCCACUGGCAGAGGGCUUUGCCCAUUGACAAGCUGUCAGAAAGGAUGUGAGCUGUUUGUGCGGCAUUGUGUUCAGGUGAUGCCCACAUUAUCAGACUUGGGUAAAGCAGCCAACGCUCUGUGAUGUGGCUGGGUCGCAGUCAGUUGGCUUCAGGCAUUAAACGAAUCGACAGGGCACAGGAUGGAAGGAAUUAUGCCUCCCGGUGGCCUUGGUCAAGAGGUAGCCUAAACUCAACCUGGCAGCUGCUUGCCCUGGGUGUUUGUUGUUGCAAAACAAUCUCCCAAACUGGGCUUGGCUUGUAGAGCACAGGUAGAAGCCACCGGGGAUGACUGGCUUCUGACCUAGGGCUUGGCCCCAGGGUUGAACAGGGCUCUCUCUGAAGUCUCUCAGAAGUUCUUCCAAGAACUGCACAGUUAGACUUCCCCUGAACCCCACUAACAGGGAAGAUGAACUCAGUGCCAAGAAGGUAAGAGCCUGGAACCAAGUUCCAGAAGUAGGGGUUGUGUUCUCUGAUGCUUCGGGAUGGUAAGCCUUCACUUCGGCACGGUUAGGACUGUGGAGAGCUUUUGGGGCCACCUUUAGGAAUUUGGCAAGAGUUUGACAUUGGGCUAGAACUAGGAAAUAGGCUUAGGAUGAAUAAGGCUGAGGAAUGUGUAUCUUGACGGGUCUUGUUAAGACCCCGAAUGCAAUACUUGUGGGACCUUUGUCUGUGCUUUGUUUGUUCCUUAACUAGUUUGUUUAUGCCUUAGGACUGACUUUAUUCGUUGCAGGGGCUUAGGAUGGUGUAAAAGCAAACUGGAGAAAAAUAAAGCUGCUUCAGCCUCAGCCCUGGCAGGAGUCCUGUUACAGUGUUGUCUAACUGUCUUUUUCUUUUCAAUCCUCGAUCCCUCCCUUGAGACCCAGUUGACUGACUGAGCUGUCUUGGUCAUAGGACAGCCAGGCAUGAGGGGCAGCAAGGGAGAGACUUGAUCAUGCACUUACACAGUGCAGGACUUCACAUUGCAAGGAAGCCUUUGUUCUGGCAUACCUGUCACCUGCUCAUCAUAGCUUGUCACCACCUCCCCCGGAGCCCAGAGACCUUUGUGCCAAGCCUCUGUGAGUCCUUCAGGCCAAUUCAUCUCUGUACAAAUCCCUGGGCCUGCCCUCCCACUUUGUGCGAUCUCCCCUAGGCCCUUUUUUCCUUGCCCUUGUAAGGAAGUUUCAGCCAUCUGACCCGCCUCUGACCUUUGUAAUGUGUAUGGCUCCUGUGCACGUUAAUAAAUAAUGUCUACCCUU
rnacentral:lncRNA from 1 species